GGAGUCUGGGCCGUGUCUCAGUCCCAAUGUGGCCGUUCAUCCUCUCAGACCGGCUACUGAUCGUUGGCCAGGUGGGCCGUUACCCCGCCUGCAACCUAAUCAGACGCAUCCCCAUCCCAUAGCGAUGAAUCUUUGCUUGACGUUAGAUGUCUGCUGUCAAGAACAUAGGGAAUUAAUCCGACUUUCGCCGGGCUGUGCCCUACUACGGGGAA
rnacentral:rRNA from 1 species